rnacentral:rRNA from 1 species
GGAUUGCCUCAGUAACGGCGAGUGAAGCGGCAACAGCUCAAAUUUGAAAUCUGGCCCUUUCAGGGUCCGAGUUGUAAUUUGUAGAGGGUGCUUUGGCGUUGGUUGUGGUCUAAGUUCCUUGGAACAGGACGUCACAGAGGGUGAGAAUCCCGUACGUGGCCGCCAGCCUUCGCCGUGUAAAGCCCCUUCGACGAGUCGAGUUGUUUGGGAAUGCAGCUCUAAAUGGGAGAUAAAUUUCUUCUAAAGCUAAAUACUGGCCAGAGACCGAUAGCGCACAAGUAGAGUGAUCGAAAGAUGAAAAGCACUUUGGAAAGAGAGUCAAAAAGCACGUGAAAUUGUUGAAAGGGAAGCGCUUGCAGCCAGACGUGCCCGCAGUUGCUCACCCAGGCUCUCGCCUGGGGCACUCUUCUGCGGGCAGGCCAGCAUCAGUUCGGGCGGUUGGAUAAAGGUCACUUUCACGUAACUGGCCCUCGGGCUUGUCCUUAUAGAGGUGACGCAACACGGCCAGCCCGGACUGAGGACCGCGCAUCAGCUAGGAUGCUGGCGUAAUGGCUGUAAGCGGCCCGUCUUGAAACACGGACCAAGGAGUCUAACAUCUAUGCGAGUGUUUGGGUGUCAAGCCCGGGCGCGCAAUGAAAGUGAACGGAGGUGGGAACCCUUUGGGUGCACCAUCGACCGAUCCUGAAGUCUUCGGAUGGAUUUGAGUAAGAGCAUAGCUGUUGGGACCCGAAAGAUGGUGAACUAUACUUGGAUAGGGUGAAGCCAGGGGAAACCCUGGUGGAGGCUCGCAGCGGUUCUGACGUGCAAAUCGAUCGUCAAAUCUGGGUAUAGGGGCGAAAGACUAAUCGAACCAUCUAGUAGCUGGUUCCUGCCGA